rnacentral:rRNA from 1 species
UUUUUAUUGAGAGUUUGAUCCUGGCUCAGGACGAACGCUGGCGGCGUGCCUAACACAUGCAAGUCGAGCGAUGAAGUUUCCUUCGGGAAACGGAUUAGCGGCGGACGGGUGAGUAACACGUGGGUAACCUGCCUCGUAGAGGGGAAUAGCCU